rnacentral:rRNA from 1 species
AGGACGAACGCUGGCGGCGUGCUUAACACAUGCAAGUCGAGCGGAAAGGCCCUUCGGGGUACUCGAGCGGCGAACGGGUGAGUAACACGUGAGCAAUCUGCCCUUAGCUUCGGGAUAGCUCCGGGAAACCGGAAUUAAUACCGAAUAUGACUUCGGCCGACAUCGGCCUUGGUGGAAAGUUUUUCGGCUAGGGAUGAACUCGCGGCCUAUCAGCUUGUUGGUGGGGUAAUGGCCUACCAAGGCGACGACGGGUAGCCGGCCUGAGAGGGCGACCGGCCACACUGGGACUGAGACACGGCCCAGACUCCUACGGGAGGCAGCAGUGGGGAAUAUUGCGCAAUGGGCGAAAGCCUGACGCAGCGACGCCGCGUGGGGGAUGAAGGCCUUCGGGUUGUAAACCCCGUUUCAGCAGGGACGAAGCGAAAGUGACGGUACCUGCAGAAGAAGCGCCGGCUAACUACGUGCCAGCAGCCGC